CUCGGAAACACUGGUGGAGAUCAAUACAGAGCCUGCAGUAGAGUACACACUGACCCAGAUGGGCCCAGUUGCUGCUAAACAAAAGGUCAGAUCUCGCACUCAUGUGCACUGGAUGUCAGAGAGUGGCAUCAUUGAUGUUUUUCUGCUGACAGGACCUACACCUUCUGAUGUCUUCAAACAGUACUCACACCUUACAGAGAAAGGCUGCAGUAAGCACUGUUCAUGCUGCUGCUCUCCCGCCUAGACAACAGAGCGAGACCCUAUCUCUAAAAACAACAGCAACAACAACAACAAAAUUAAUGUAAUAGUGACAUGGAAAAAAUACAGCUGGAUGCUUAAAAUGAAUUUGGACAGAGUAGCUCCAAAAGUUCUGUGACAGCCUACCUCUUUUACAGACAUUGGAGAAAAAUAGCUCUCAGUCUGAGGAAGAUACUGAGAAAAGGAAAGAAGUUGAAAGCAUCUUGAAGAAAAAUUCAGAUUGGAUAUGGGAUUGGACAAGUUGGCCAGAAAAUAUUCCCCACAAGGAGUUCCUCUUUAAAGCACCUGAAGCACGUAGCUACCCAGCAUGGAAUUUAAAGCCUGAUGAGGAAAGGGGGCAUUUUCUCAGCAGAAUUUCCAAAGGGUUUUGCUGCUGUCUCAUCUGGUGGCCAUGGGAUUGGGGAUCUAUAUUGGAAGGCAUCUGACAACUUCUACCAGCACCUUUUGAUGAAUAAUUUGAAUCCAGCUUUGUGCGUAUAGUGGGGAUUUCUAUCUGAGCUUGUGACACAGCUAACUCAGGAGCUGUUAUGGUCCUUGGGUGGCUGUUUCACUUGUUUUUAUUUGUUCUGUAAAUACUGCUUUCCUAAUUUAGUAAAAUGAAAGAAUAGACACUAAAAUCACACUGACCUAUACUUAUACCUAUAGAAUCAGUUAAUAAGGGUAUCAGACUGAUUAAUAUCUACUGUAACAAUUUGGCAGUGAGUUUUCUUUGGAUAUUAGUAUAAAUAUGUAAGUAUCGUUUUAAUAUAUUAGUCAUGAUAUAGCAUUUUAAAAAUUAUCUGUAACCUGAAUUCUGUUAAAACACUUUAUAUUCCAAAAGAAUGAAUGACAGUGAUAUUAAAAUCACUACAUUAAAGGGUUUGCC
rnacentral:lncRNA from 1 species